GACGAACGCUGGCGGCGUGCUUAACACAUGCAAGUCGAACGAUGAAGCCCAGCUUGCUGGGUGGAAGAGUGGCGAACGGGUGAGUAACACGUGAGUAACCUGCCCCUGCCUCUGGGAUCAGCGCUAGAAAUGGCGUCUAAUACUGGAUAUGACCUAUCACCGCAUGGUGUGGAGGCGGAAAGAUUUAUCGGUUGGGGAUGGACUCGCGGCCUAUCAGCUUGUUGGUGAGGUAAUGGCUCACCAAGGCGACGACGGGUAGCCGGCCUGAGAGGGUGACCGGCCACACUGGGACUGAGACACGGCCCAGACUCCUACGGGAGGCAGCAGUGGGGAAUAUUGCACAAUGGGCGCAAGCCUGAUGCAGCAACGCCGCGUGAGGGAUGACGGCCUUCGGGUUGUAAACCUCUUUUAGUAGGGAAGAAGCGCAAAUGACGGUACCUGCAGAAAAAGCACCGGCUAACUACGUGCCAGCCGCCGCAGUAA
rnacentral:rRNA from 1 species